GGGGUUGUGGCUCAGUGGUAGAGUGCUUGCCUCACAUGCUUGAGGCCCUGGGUUCGAUCCUCAGAACCACA
rfam:Ictidomys tridecemlineatus contig079199, whole genome shotgun sequence.